GACGAACGCUGGCGGCGCGCCUAACACAUGCAAGUCGAACGAGCGAGAGAGAGCUUGCUUUCUCAAGCGAGUGGCGAACGGGUGAGUAACGCGUGAGGAACCUGCCUCAAAGAGGGGGACAACAGUUGGAAACGACUGCUAAUACCGCAUAAGCCCACGGGUCGGCAUCGACCAGAGGGAAAAGGAGCAAUCCGCUUUGAGAUGGCCUCGCGUCCGAUUAGCUAGUUGGUGAGGUAAUGGCCCACCAAGGCGACGAUCGGUAGCCGGACUGAGAGGUUGAACGGCCACAUUGGGACUGAGACACGGCCCAGACUCCUACGGGAGGCAACAGUGGGGAAUAUUGCACAAUGGGGGAAACCCUGAUGCAGCGACGCCGCGUGGAGGAAGAAGGUCUUCGGAUUGUAAACUCCUGUUGUUGAGGAAGAUAAUGACGGUACUCAACAAGGAAGUGACGGCUAACUACGUGCCAGCAGCCGCGGUAAAACGUAGGUCACAAGCGUUGUCCGGAAUUACUGGGUGUAAAGGGAGCGCAGGCGGGAAGACAAGUUGGAAGUGAAAUCUAUGGGCUCAACCCAUAAACUGCUUUCAAAACUGUUUUUCUUGAGUAGUGCAGAGGUAGGCGGAAUUCCCGGUGUAGCGGUGGAAUGCGUAGAUAUCGGGAGGAACACCAGUGGCGAAGGCGGCCUACUGGGCACCAACUGACGCUGAGGCUCGAAAGUGUGGGUAGCAAACAGGAUUAGAUACCCUGGUAGUCCACACCGUAA
rnacentral:rRNA from 1 species